GACGAACCGUGCGAACGUUGUUCGGAUUCACUGGGCUUAAAGGGCGCGUAGACGGGUGAUCAAGUCCGGGGUGAAAUCCUCCAGCUUAACUGGAGAAUAGCCCUGGAUACUGGUCGUCUUGAGGAAGGUAGGGGCAUGUGGAACUUCCGGUGGAGCGGUGAAAUGCGUAGAUAUCGGAAGGAACGCCGGUGGCGAAAGCGACGUGCUGGACCUUUUCUGACGCUGAGGCGCGAAAGCCAGGGGAGCAAACGGG
rnacentral:rRNA from 1 species